UCCGUAGGCGGUCUUAUAAGUCAGUGGUGAAAUCCCAUCGCUCAACGAUGGAACUGCCAUUGAUACUGUAGGACUUGAAUGUGAUUGAGGUAGCUGGAAUGGAUAGUGUAGCGGUGAAAUGCAUAGAUAUUAUCCAGAACACCGAUUGCGAAGGCAGGUUACUAAGUCAUAACUGACGCUGAGGCACGAAAGUGUGGGGAUCAAACAGGAUUAGAUACCCCUGUA
rnacentral:rRNA from 1 species